rnacentral:rRNA from 1 species
UACGAAGGGGGCGAGCGUUGUUCGGAAUGACUGGGCGUAAAGGGCGCGUAGGCGGUUCGUACAGUCAGACGUGAAAUUCCCGGGCUCAACCUGGGGGCUGCGUUUGAUACGUGCGGGCUUGAGUUCGGAAGAGGGUCGUGGAAUUCCCAGUGUAGAGGUGAAAUUCGUAGAUAUUGGGAAGAACACCGGUGGCGAAGGCGGCGACCUGGUCCGAUACUGACGCUGAGGCGCGAAAGCGUGGGGAGCAAACAGG